UACGUAGGGUGCAAGCGUUAUCCGGAAUUAUUGGGCGUAAAGAGCUCGUAGGCGGCUUGUCGCGUCGACCGUGAAAAACUUGGGGGCUCAACCCCCAAGCCUGCGGUCGAUACGGGCAGGCUCGAGUUCGGUAGGGGAGACUGGAAUUCCUGGUGUAGCGGUGAAAUGCGCAGAUAUCAGGAAGGAACACCCUGGAGGAAGGCGGCUCUCUGGGGACGGUACUGACGCUGAGACGCGAAAAGCGUGGGGGAGCGAACAGG
rnacentral:rRNA from 1 species